CGCCCGCCGCCGCGCCCCACCUCCCCGACCAUGCGCCCGCCGUAGCGGCCCACCUCCCGGACACGCGCCCCAACCAGUCAAACCACACAUGCUCUGAAAUUUUCAGUUUUGUUGCUUUCACUUGUAGAGACAAGAGGAUUUAUUUUCCUGGAAGACAAUGGUAUCCCUCUAUUCUAUUGUAAAUUUCCUAAUCACACACUCAUAGAUCCAAGCCUCUGACCAUUUGUGCUUAAGAGGGAUCCAAGUCCAUGAUGCUAUUUUAGACUAGGCGAUAGAGGUUUUCUCAACUUUGGGAAGUUCUCCGCACCAUGGUCUUUAAUGACGAGGUGCUUCGGAGGGAUGAGAUUCUAGAUGGCAAAACAGUUGUUGGUGCUUGUUGUGAGUCGUUGCAUCUCACCAUAUCAGAAAUCUGCUCCGAAACAUUCUUUCGCAUCGCUUGAUCUAUGUAGUCCGCCAGGUCAUUUUCAUCUUCUCUUCAUUGUCCAACAUUACCGAACUAUCAAUCCUUUACAACAAGUGAUGUGGGAACAUUGAGCUUGCUUCAGUUUCGAGAUAGAAAAUGGUUGUCAUCGUCUUAACCAAACAUAUGGCUUUGGUGCGAGUUAAAUAAAUAUCACUAUUUAUACUAAACUUUAAUAUUUGUUUAUAAUACACUUUUUUCAUCUUACAAUCAUAGCUAAUUAUUAUGGUGAAUUUUAACAAUAUUUUAUAAUAGAAGUUACAUUUCUCAAUAAAAUACUCCUUAAACACAUUUAAAUCAAUUUGACAUAAAUAUGAUUAAAUAAGAAACUAGAAGAUAUCAUGUCUUCUUGGAUUUUUUGUGCUUGUAUUAAUGCGGCGUAUAUGCAUGUGUGUCGUUAACAAUCUUAAUAAAUACCUUAAAGUGUGUGGUAUACAAAUACACCAUCAUAGUGGUCUUUAUUAUUAGAUAUACGCAAAUAGAAAAUUCUCGAGUUCAUGAGAUGUUUAUGAGGAGCUCGGUACCUAAUAAUUGCAGUUUUCUUUAUUCAUUUUUUGGGUCAAAUGUGUGUAACAUAUUACAAUGGGUUCAGUAAUAUGUUGAUGAUGUGUAUACGAUAUAUACUUGGUACUGAAAUAAUAUCACUCUAGCUAAGACAACCUUUAGUACAACUUGUAAAGCAUUCAUAAUAAAGGGAUACUUGCAUCCUAAGUAAAAUUGCUUUAUAAUAUGAACUUGUGGGUCUUAUUUUGUUUAGAAUUUCAAUGAUUUAUUUAUAUUUAGCACGCUCUUGGAUGCAACACUUUUUCACUAAUAAUGUGAUGAUUAAUAUGCAUAGUUUGUGUGUGCGCGGCGCGCACAUGUGUGAGCCUCCACCAUAGGGCCCAAGGGCGUCAUUCUAUUUACUUGGUCCAUGGAUUCACUCUAACCUCAAGGAAACCAAAGUUUGACUACCAUCUUGAUGGGUGGCACCCGUCGACGAGGUGUAGAGGUAGGGAUGCGGCCGGGUGGCCACAUGCUCAAAAUAACAAAGCCUCAUAGUGGUAGUCGGGUUAGCCUGGGAUCAGGUGUGCAGCUGAGGCGUGUUGCCGAUGAAAAAUACGAUCAUGAAGAACAACACAAUGAGCUUGGCCUAGGCCAUGAUGAACCACACGCACUAAAAAGGCAGCAUGAGUAGAUACUCAAUUCUCAAGUCAGGUUGCAGAAUCUCAAAGGUGCAACUGUUUGGGACAUGUUAUGGUCGUAUGUUUACAUAUAGCGCACUUUAGUCAAUGACUAACUACUAGAGCUCGCCUAGUGGAUCAUUUGCCUUAGUCCUGCUCAUGGUGUCAUUAGGAGACUUAUUUCCGUUCGUUUUGGAGAUAGGUGUCCAACUUCUUCAUUCCUAUCAUCAUGAAUUGUUGCUAGUUAGCGUUUUAGAUUGUAAUUUAUGUUGUUGGAUAUUAUACUACUUGCUACAUUGCAUUAAUAAGUGUUUUUUAAAUACUCCCUUCGUUCUAAAAUAGAUGACUCAACUUUGUACUAACUUUAGUACAAAGUUAGUACAAAGUUGGGUCAUCUAUUUUGAAACGGAGGAAGUAUUAAGUAUUCAUUGUAUGUACCUACAAAGUAUUUUAUUGUAUGUGCCUACACGAGGGCCCUAGGACAUUGGAGGCCAGUGCAACCGCACAUGUUGUACAUUCUUAGGGGCCUUUCCUGCCCCUCCCUGCAACUCGAGCUUCACACGGGCCCUCUUCUGGAGGGUGACCCUCUUGAUCGCCAGCAGCUGCUUGGUGGAGCUGUCGCCGACCACCAGCCACUACCCUUCCUCCUUGGUCUUAGGGAACCUGGGGGUGUGAACCGGGCCGACCUCGGAGUUGGGCUUUAUGUCAUCGCCCUCACGGACCUCUUUAGAGCUUUUUCAGUGUCGUUUGGGCAGACUGUAAACCAGAUUCCCAACUCUGUACCUCCUCUGCUUUCUAAGAGUAACAACCAGCAUGUUCCUAUUGCAACUCCCAGGUUACUGCUUGCUCUUUCAGACUCGGUAUCCAGAUCCUCUUAUUGCUCAGACUUGUAAGGGUGACAUCUACCUUGGGCAGCAAAGAAGGAUACACUCAACUCUGAAUCUAUUCCAGCUCUGCCCAUCAUCUUUCACAUUCCAAAUCUGAAGAUUUCUGAACCGGUCCAUCUUUUUGCUCUCCUCGUACACCUAGUCCUAGGUGUAUAAAUAUGUAGCACUCACAGUAAGCAUCCCAAAAGCAGUAAUCAAAUCACUCUUAUAAAUGGAGCAUCACCUCCUCUAAUUUAAAGCAAUAAUCACCCUUGUUUGCUGUUCUGGCAGCCAAGUAAGGUAGGUCAUCUCAUCAUCGCUGUUCGUCGUGAAAGGCGAAAUCAGUCACUGGUUGUCUCUCAGCCCCUGUGCUGUCCAGAUAAAAUAAACAGAAAAAGUUUCCAUUUCCUAUUUUCAGUUAUAAUGUGUAUGCAUCGUGCCGUAUCAAAUUUGAUUAUUGAUACUACAGUGAACGAAUGUCAACUCAUGGAGCUGUAAAUGUAAAUCUGGGAGUUGCCACUUCACGGUGCUGAAUUAAUGGACUCUCUCACUCUUUGGCUUCAGUUAGAAGUGUCUCCGGUACAAAUAUCCGUUACGUAGUGCUACAUGGGUAGGCUGUCAACAAAAUGCUACUGGCCAACUACUGAAUUAUUCAGUUUUGACAUCAGAUGCUCCUAGAAAAAGUAUCAGCCAGUAGGCCAUCCAAGAAUAUAAGAGAAAAACAAACGAAAAAACUGAUACAAACUAUUAGUA